GUAUUUCGUGAUGAAUUUUAAUAAUUCUUGAUAGGAAGGGUAUGACACAUAAUGAGUACCACAACUAGCUGAUAUUUUC